rnacentral:rRNA from 1 species
CAAAAACAUUUUUUUAAAGAAGUUAAGAUACGACCUGCUCACUGAUUUAUAAUUAAAGAGCCGCGGAAUUUUAACCGUGCUAAGGUAGCAUAAUAAUUUGACUCUUAAUUGGGGCCUAGAAUGAAUGGUUAAAUGAGACUUAAGCUUUUUUUUUAUUAAGAUUCAAAUUUAACUUUAAAGUGAAAAGGCUUUAAUAGUCUAAAAAGAAGAGAAGACCCCUAGAGUUUUAUUAUAAAAAAUUAAUUCAUUAUGGUAUAAUAAAAUGAUUAGUAAGGUGUAAUUUAGCUGGGGCGGUUUUUAAGUAUAAGUAACCUUAGAAAAAUUAACUUUUAAAGAAUAUAUUGAUCCAAUAAAAUUGAUUGGGAGUAAAAUUACCUUGGGGAUAACAGCGUAAUCUUUUCAAAGAGUUCUUAUUGAUGAAAGGGUUUGCGACCUCGAUGUUGGAUUAAGAUUAAAUUUUGGAGCAGAAACUAAAAUGUUAGGUCUGUUCGACCUUUAAUUUCUUACGUGAUCUGAGU